AGGCCACAGAGCAGUGGUGUGAAAAAGAGAGAGAGGAAAUGGAAACAAAACACACGAAUAGGCUGAAAAUAUGAAAUUUGAAUGAUUCAAUAUUGGGAGCAGGCUUUGGAUACAGGUGAUCAAACUAGUCAAACUAGUCAACAGAGCUGUAUGGAAGCAGACUGGUUCACAGUGAGGUCAGCACACACCACAGCCAUGAAGACGAGGGCCAAAAACCUCCUCCACAGCCCUCUGCCUGGGAUCCAUUUCAUCGUCUCCAUGACUCUGUGUCCUGACAAAGGAAAACAAUUAAGACAGGAGACAAGGCCGGGGUGUUUCAGAUGAGAAAACCAAAGAAGAGAUGGAGGAGAAACAUUGUAAGUUUUUGGACUAAGCCUGCCAGAAGCAACUCUCCCACCCAAAUCCCUCCUCUGAAUCCCUCCAUUGUAUCCUAACCACAAAUCCCACACUUUGCCUGGAAAAGCACAGCACAAAUAUGAAAUAUGCAUUGGAAUUUUUAAGGGGUAUAUGGGAAUGCCCAGAGCUUUUAUUAAAGGUUUUUAUUCA